CACGUAGGGCGCAAGCGUUGUCCGGAAUUAUUGGGCGUAAAGAGCUCGUAGGUGGUUUGUUACGUCUGCUGUGAAAACCCUAGGGCUUAACCCUGGGCUUGCAGUGGAUACGGGCAGACUAGAGGUAGGUAGGGGAGAAUGGAAUUCCUGGUGUAGCGGUGAAAUGCGCAGAUAUCAGGAGGAACACCGGUGGCGAAGGCGGUUCUCUGGGCCUUACCUGACACUGAGGGAGCGAAAAGCGUGGGGGAGCGAAACAGGGA
rnacentral:rRNA from 1 species